rnacentral:rRNA from 1 species
CUACGGGGGGCUGCAGUGAGGAAUUUUGCGCAAUGGGGGAAACCCUGACGCAGCAACGCCGCGUGAGUGAUGAAGGCCUUCGGGUCGUAAAACUCUGUCAAGUGGGAAGAACCUAUGUAAGGUUAAUACCCUUAUGUACUGACGGUACCACUGAAGGAAGCACCGGCUAACUCCGUGCCAGCAGCCGCGGUAAUACGGAGGGUGCAAGCGUUAUUCGGAAUUAUUGGGCGUAAAGGGCGCGCAGGCGGUUUUGUAAGUCAGAUGUGAAAGCCCGGGGCUUAACCUCGGAAGUGCAUUUGAUACUGCAAGACUUGAGUAUGGGAGGGGGAAGUGGAAUUCCUGGUGUAGAGGUGAAAUUCGUAGAUAUCAGGAGGAACACCAGUGGCGAAGGCGACUUCCUGGACCAAUACUGACGCUGAGGCGCGAAGGCGUGGGGAGCAAACAGGAUUAGAUACCCUCGUAGUC